CCUAGGAAUCUGCCUGGUAGUGGGGGAUAACGUUCGGAAACGAACGCUAAUACCGCAUACGUCCUACGGGAGAAAGCAGGGGACCUUCGGGCCUUGCGCUAUCAGAUGAGCCUAGGUCGGAUUACCUAGUUGGUGAGGUAAUGGCUCACCAAGGCGACCAUCCGUAACUGGUCUGAGAGGAUGAUCAGUCACACUGGAACUGAGACACGGUCCAGACUCCUACGGGAGGCAGCAGUGGGGAAUAUUGGACAAUGGGCGAAAGCCUGAUCCAGCCAUGCCGCGUGUGUGAAGAAGGUCUUCGGAUUGUAAAGCACUUUAAGUUGGGAGGAAGGGCAGUUACCUAAUACGUGAUUGUUUUGACGUUACCGACAGAAUAAGCACCGGCUAACUCUGUGCCAGCAGCCGCGGUAAUACAGAGGGUGCAAGCGUUAAUCGGAAUUACUGUGCGUAAAGCGCGCGUAGGUGGUUUGUUAAGUUGGAUGUGAAAUCCCCGGGCUCAACCUGGGAACUGCAUUCAAACUGACUGACUAGAGUAUGGUAGAGGGUGGUGGAAUUUCCUGUGUAGCAGUGAAAUGCGUAGAUAUAGGAAGGGAACACCAGUGGCGAA
rnacentral:rRNA from 1 species